UUCAAUUCUGCGCUUUAUCGCGGGGUAGAGCAGCUUGGUAGCUCACAAGGCUCAUAACCUUGAGGUCACGGGUUCA
rnacentral:tRNA from 1 species